rnacentral:rRNA from 1 species
AUUGAACGCUGGCGGCAGGCUUAACACAUGCAAGUCGAGCGGAGUGAUGGUGCUUGCACUAUCACUUAGCGGCGGACGGGUGAGUAAUGCUUAGGAAUCUGCCUAUUAGUGGGGGACAACAUCUCGAAAGGGAUGCUAAUACCGCAUACGUCCUACGGGAGAAAGCAGGGGAUCACUUGUGACCUUGCGCUAAUAGAUGAGCCUAAGUCGGAUUAGCUAGUUGGUGGGGUAAAGGCCUACCAAGGCGACGAUCUGUAGCGGGUCUGAGAGGAUGAUCCGCCACAAUGGGACUGAAACACGGCCCAGACUCCUACGGGAGGCAGCAGUGGGGAAUAGUGGACAAUGGGGGGAACCCUGAUCCAGCCACGCCGCGUGUGUGAAGAAGGCCUUAUGGUUGUAAAGCACUUUAAGCGAGGAGGAGGCUCUUUUGGUUAAUACCCAAGAUGAGUGGACGUUACUCGCAGAAUAAGCACCGGCUAACUCUGUGCCAGCAGCCGCAGUAA